UGGAAUUCUCCUUGGGAUCACAAAUUCUUUUGCUACUAUCCCAGGAAUGGUGGGGCCAGUUAUUGCCAAGAACCUCACUCAUAAUAAUACUGUGGGAGAAUGGCAGACUGUUUUCUAUAUUGCUGCUUCUAUUAAUCUAUUUGGAGCAAUUUUCUUUGCAUUAUUUGCAAGUGGAGAAGUUCAGGACUGGGCAGUCAGUGGAUAUCACUUGCAUAGAAAUUGAAGGAGAUGUUGAAAUACCAAAGCUGUGCUGAAUCCCCAUGUGCUAGAAUUCUGUGACCAGAAAAGUGCCUUCCCUACUGAUGCCUAGGAGUCUUCAGAGCUUUUCAGUUAAACUAUUUUAUCUGUAUAUCUUUUGUACUGAAAGUCAUUUGACAGCAUAUGUGUGCUAUUUCCUAGCAAGAAACUACUUGGAUUAAAUAGAAUAGUUUCAUGCUAGGACUUGAUAUCAAAUAUAUGAUCAGAGACAACAUUUUAAAUCGUUGUGCUAGGCUCCAACUCUUUCCAGUUUUUAAUUAAUAUUUUCUGAAUUAAUGUGUAGGCAGAUGUUUGUUGAUACUGAAAUGAGAGGAAAAAGCAAAGUGAUUAUGUAGCACUGUAAGGAGGAACGGCAUGUGAAGAAUUGUACCCAAAAAAGUGUUUUGAUUUCCAUGAUGAGAUUGAUAGGUGUUUUGCUGUUUAAAAGUCUAGAAUAGCUCUAGUUUUCUACAAUCUUUUAUAAUGCUUUUAUUUUGUCAGUGUUUUAAUUGUCUAAGAAAUGCACACAAUUUUAUUCUAUUUUACGCACAAAUUUUCGAUAUCUGAACAUUCCCAGUUUCAUUAAUACAGUUUCACAACUGAUGCAGCGCAAUGAGGAAGUGAAAUAUACCAUUGUGACUGACAGAAUAAGCCAUGUGUUACUGUUCUGUGGUGCAGGUUUUUUAAAUAGGCCUUAUUCAUCUGUGCAAAGAAGAAGCAGUGCAACUCUGUGGUUUAAAUCUAGGCAGUGUGCAGGAGUGAGCUAGAAAUAGAAUAUCUGCAUGCUUACCUUAAAAUAACUUUCAGUUUGUCAGUUCAUUUUUUUGUGUCUUUAAAUCAAUGCAGUGGAAUUAUUUCCUCUUGCGUGUAUAUAUAUUUGUUAGCUUGUCAGUGUAAAUGCAAUAAAAUAAGGCCAGUGUAGGAAAUAAUGAGGAAAGUCAGUUCUCUAACAGCCUUGUUUGUUAGUCACAUAAAAGUAGAGUAAAAAAGAACUAGUGCAAUAACCUGAAACCUGUCAACAUAGAAUCUGACACUCCAGAGCAUCCUUUGCACAACAUGCAAUUAAAUGCCACACAGAAGGAUUAAAUGAAGUCUAUGAAACAGUGGCCUUUUAAAAACAAAUGGCUGAAUAAUCCUGUAGUCACAAUGCAAAGGAAAAUUCCUGUGCCAAAGAUUCCUGGAUUGGAGCAAUUGGGUAAAAAAGAAAAAUCACUGGGCUCUGGGUUUUUCAUUUACCACCAAUCCAAAAGAAAAGCCCAGUACUAAAGCUGCUCCAGUGGAGCCUACCUUCCUUCAUUUCUAGGAAAUGGCAUCUGCCUCCUCUUUUUAGCUUUAAGAGCCAUUUUGUUUUGACCUUCCUUGAAGUGUCAUGUUCUCUGGUGGAACUGUGUUUAAAUCUGUGUUUGUGUCUGCAGCGUUUCCACAAUAAACAGUGUGAAGUUCAGAUUAAAUUAGUAGUUGUUCAGUGGGAGUAUGUUAAAGUUAUAUUAUGUCUUCAGUGUUUCCACAAUAAAUGGAAUUAAUAUUUACAUGUGCAUCUGUUGUUGAAAAUUACUAUCUCCCUGAAGUUAGAACACCAUUCUCAAAGUAUGCUAAACAAGAUUGGUGACUGGAUUAAGGGAUGGUUAAUAUUUCCCUGGAAAAUUACCUGCUUCAGAAGUUUCUUGUCUAGCUUUACAGGUAUACCAGAGUAAGAAGUUGUGCUCUCUGUUCCAUCAAGAACCCUCUAGUUAGGAUGUGCACCUGGAAUGAGGAAAGUUGGUUCAAAACCAGAUUUCACCCAUUUUGCAGCAGGCGCUGAACCGACGAUUUGCAUGUCUUAGUGUUGCCAGGUAUUUUUAAGUGCAUUCUCCUCAAUGUCUCCUUCUGACACAGUUCUGCUUAAGUAUUUUUUGGAACACUUAGUGCAAAGUUCUUCCAGUGUUAGUAACAGAGAUGGAAUAACUCUUUGCAGAAUAUCCUACAGCAUGUGACAUGGGUAUUGACCUGAGAUCUGAACCGCAGUCUUUUACAGACUGGAGAAGUGCCUUCAUCAAGCUUUUCAAAAGAGGAAAGGCUGCAAAGUAAUGGGUGUGUUUUUUCAAUUCACUGUUUCUUUGCUCCAAGGGUACCAACUGUCAGUCAUGCACCUUAAAGAAGUCUGAAGUAUUUGACACCCAAAAAUAUGACUUAUGUAGGCUUUUUAAUGCUAAACCAGUGAAGGUUUAUAUAACUCUCUGUAAGGCAUAGGCACCUGUACACGGUGCUUCCCCAUCUACAUGUUCCUCUGUAACUGGUAAUGACUGUAUUUGCUAUGUGAAAGGGUCAUCUUAGUUAAUUUCCCAGAAGUUGAAUUGUUCCUGUGAUAUAUUUUUUUUUCUGGCUUUUCUCAAUAACUUACUCACUUAUUUGCCAAUUUCUCUUCUUCUACUUUCUGGGAAUGUUUGAUUUCAUGAUAAAUGAACUAAACUUUGAGUUUAACAGGUCUUCCAAUGUUUUCAGCAUUUGCCAGGAUGGAAAGCUGUGGGUGAGGAAGCCUACACAUUAUGAAGAUGAGCAAGACAAAGUUUGUACAGAAAGGUAGUGUCUUCUGUUAGAUCACUUUGAGCAUCUGGGAAAGAGAGACAUGUUUUUAAACUUCAGACCUCCUCUUUUUCAUUGAGCUCAACCAUCACAACUACAACACUGCUAUUGUGUUUUGUAAGCUGUUACAGUGAGUAGCAUCGUAAGAGGGUCUUCCAUUUCUCCUGUGUGCCUCUAUCUCAAAAAGCCAAAUGUCUAUUCUUAAGUCACAUGAUUUAAGAGCAAUCAAAUAAAACAAAAUUAAUCAAAAUG